AUUAGACGAAUCAUCUGGAAAGAUGAAUCAAAGAAGGUAAUAAUCCUGUAGUCGAAAAUGUUGUCUCUCUUGAGUGGAUCCUGAGUACGACGGAGCACGUGAAAUUCCGUCGGAAUCUGGGAGGACCAUCUCCUAAGGCUAAAUACUCUCUAGUGACCGAUAGUGAACCAGUACCGUGAGGGAAAGGUGAAAAGCACCCCGGAAGGGGAGUGAAAUAGAACCUGAAACCGUGUGCUUACAAGUAGUCAGAGCCCGUUAAUGGGUGAUGGCGUGCCUUUUGUAGAAUGAACCGGCGAGUUACGAUUUGAUGCAAGGUUAAGCAGUAAAUGUGGAGCCGUAGCGAAAGCGAGUCUGAAUAGGGCGUUUAGUAUUUGGUCGUAGACCCGAAACCAGGUGAUCUACCCUUGGUCAGGUUGAAGUUCAGGUAACACUGAAUGGAGGACCGAACCGACUUACGUUGAAAAGUGAGCGGAUGAACUGAGGGUAGCGGAGAAAUUCCAAUCGAACCUGGAGAUAGCUGGUUCUCUCCGAAAUAGCUUUAGGGCUAGCCUCAAGUGAUGAUUAUUGGAGGUAGAGCACUGUUUGGACGAGGGGCCCCUCUCGGGUUACCGAAUUCAGACAAACUCCGAAUGCCAAUUAAUUUAACUUGGGAGUCAGAACAUGGGUGAUAAGGUCCGUGUUCGAAAGGGAAACAGCCCAGACCACCAGCUAAGGUCCCAAAAUAUAUGUUAAGUGGAAAAGGAUGUGGCGUUGCCCAGACAACUAGGAUGUUGGCUUAGAAGCAGCCAUCAUUUAAAGAGUGCGUAAUAGCUCACUAGUCGAGUGACACUGCGCCGAAAAUGUACCGGGGCUAAACAUAUUACCGAAGCUGUGGAUUGUCCUUUGGACAAUGGUAGGAGAGCGUUCUAAGGGCGUUGAAGCAUGAUCGUAAGGACAUGUGGAGCGCUUAGAAGUGAGAAUGCCGGUGUGAGUAGCGAAAGACGGGUGAGAAUCCCGUCCACCGAUUGACUAAGGUUUCCAGAGGAAGGCUCGUCCGCUCUGGGUUAGUCGGGUCCUAAGCUGAGGCCGACAGGCGUAGGCGAUGGAUAACAGGUUGAUAUUCCUGUACCACCUAUAAUCGUUUUAAUCGAUGGGGGGACGCAGUAGGAUAGGCGAAGCGUGCGAUUGGAUUGCACGUCUAAGCAGUAAGGCUGAGUAUUAGGCAAAUCCGG
rnacentral:rRNA from 1 species